CGUCUAAUACUUCUCCUAAAAGAUUACUGAAUUUAACACUGCAACAUGAAGCAGCACAAGCUGUCUGCAAAAAAGCGCCUUACCAAACCGCUUCUUUUCGGCACACUGAUCGCAGGACUUGCAACAGCUUUCUACAACAGGCACUUGUUCUUUGAAGACGUGGAAGAGCUUCGAGCUCAGGAACGAGCUCGUAAUGAUGCCAAACGCUUAGAAGUGUUAGAAAGGAGGCAGAAACAAAUAGAAGAGCUGGUGGAGAAGAGAAAUGCAGGGAACAGUUGAAAUCAGACAUCUAUGCAAGGACAUAUCUGCUCACCUGUGCUGAAAGCAGAAAAAACAGGGUGGCCACCAUCUAACUGUCCAAAAAAAUGAUGAUUGUAUUCGGUGCAAAAUCGGAGCUACACAAGAUACAAGAACGUUACUCCACUUAAUAACACCCCCCUCUAACUAACUAUCAAGAAGCUGUAUCCCCUCAGUGGAUUGAAAAUUUAGAUGAAAAGAUGGACCAUCACAAGAGCUAUAAUCUAACAGGAUUUGUACUUCAACCACAGAUUUGUGUUGGCUCGUGAAUGUCAAACUGCUAUUAAAAAAUUGCUUGUAUAAGAUAAGCUCAUACAAUGCUUUUUUUCUGUCACAGUGACACAUUGCCCUCAUCAUUAGCCCAGUACCUGCCAAGUGAGAUAUACAUAUAUGUAAAUAAAAAAAGUGUAAAAAAAAAGACUUGUCUGCCUUUGUAUGAAAGAAAAUUAAAUACAUUAUAAACAUUCAAAAGCCUAUUUUUACAAAUAUUUGGCAAAGGUUUUAUGAAGAUCUGCAUUGUAAAACAGGAAUUGAUUUUCAGGCAUUUGCAACAUGUCUCUGUUCUAAAAAUAAACCUUUGCACCUUUGCCACUUUCUUGUAUUGCGUUUUAUUUUUGGCAGCCGGUAAUGCCACACCUGUAAUGUACUAGAGUAAAUGAAUAAUGUAAGAGUGAUAAAUGCAGCACACCACACAUAACAGAGCAUGCAAAGACAUAAAGCAGGAGCAUCUUUAGAGAGAACAGGUGGAAUAACUUUGCAAAGCUGAACAAACAGACUGCAGUUUACAAAUAAUACAUAUCCAUCUAGUCGGAAGAGGAUGUAAACAACCGUAGCAGCUAGUGAUGGGAAUUCCAGCUCUUUUCAAUGAGCCAGUGAUUGUUCUGGCUGAAAUGUGUAAUCCAAUCUUAAUCUACAUUCUAAAAACAAAAUGACAUUGUGUUGCAUUUUAUUAUUUUUUUUUUAAAAAUACAAAGGUCAUGUCAUUGUGCCUGCUGUAUCCUGAUAACUGACCAUGUCCUACACUCAUAACUACAUACAGUUCAUCUUCAACAAGCAGCAAGGCAGUGGAUCCUUCAUCAUGCUGUCAAACACGUCUCACCAUUCAUGCUAACAAACAUCUCAGAUGAGCUUUGAAUCGAGGCAUUUUAAUUAAAUUACACCAACAUCCAAAAAAAAAAAAAACCCAGCUUACUUAUGCAAGUCUAUUCCCAAAGUUUGACUCUUUUUAAAUUAUUUGAAUGUGCUUCAUAUCAGUGUGAAAAGAGGUAAAAUAUUUAAUAAAUGUUUACUUUUUAAAGUAAUUCUUAUUCCAA